CCCUUAGAUGUUCUGAACCGCACGCGUGUUACACUGAUGCAUUCAACGAGCUUUACCUUGGCCGAGAGGCCUGGGAAAUCUUUUUAGCAUGCAUCGUGAUAGGGAUUGAUUAUUGCAAUUAUUAAUCAUGAACGAGGAAUUCCUAGUAAACGCAUUUCAUCAAAAUGCAUUGAUUACGUCCCUGCCCUUUGUACACACCGCCCGUCGCACCUACCGAUUGAGUGGUCCGGUGAAGUCUCGAGAUUGUGGCAAUCUCCUUUAUUGGAGUUUGACUGCGAGAACUUGCCUAAACCUUAUCACUUAGAGGAAGGUGAGGUCGUAACA
rnacentral:rRNA from 1 species